AUUGAACGCUGGCGGCAUGCUUUACACAUGCAAGUCGAACGGUAACAGGCCUUCGGGUGCUGACGAGUGGCGAACGGGUGAGUAAUGCAUCGGAACGUGCCCAAUCGUGGGGGAUAACGUAGCGAAAGUUACGCUAAUACCGCAUAAGCCCUGAGGGGGAAAGCAGGGGAUCGCAAGACCUUGCGCGAAUGGAGCGGCCGAUGUCAGAUUAGCUAGUUGGUGGGGUAAAGGCCUACCAAGGCGACGAUCUGUAGCGGGUCUGAGAGGAUGAUCCGCCACACUGGGACUGAGACACGGCCCAGACUCCUACGGGAGGCAGCAGUGGGGAAUUUUGGACAAUGGGCGCAAGCCUGAUCCAGCCAUGCCGCGUGCGGGACGAAGGCCUCGGGUUGUAACCGACUUUCUAGCCGGAAACGAAAUACGCCAAACGGCUAAUAAUCCUUGGUGGAUGAC
rnacentral:rRNA from 1 species